rnacentral:rRNA from 1 species
GACGAAGGUGGCGAGCGUUGUUCGGAAUCACUGGGCAUAAAGCGCACGUAGGCGGCGACGUAAGUUGGGUGUGAAAUCCCUCGGCCCAACCGAGGAACUGCGCCCAGUACUGCGUUGCUUGAGGAUCCAAGGGGUGCAUGGAAUUCCCGGUGGAGCGGUGAAAUGCGUUGAUAUCGGGAGGAACUCCGGGCGGCGAAAAGCGGUGCACUGGUGGAUUACUGACGCUGAGGUGCGAAGCCAGGGGAGCAAACGGG